rnacentral:lncRNA from 1 species
UGCCCUCGCUGUUCCAUACCUAAGACUGAGACAAGCAGUUUCCCUGCACAAUUUUUUUAUCAUUCUACUCGCAUGCUUCCGAACCCAAGUAUACAACAAGGGAAGGCAUUUCUACACACAGCCUCCUUUCUCCAUGUCUACAAUGCAUUCAUGAAAAGCGAACCACUUUCGUGUAAGAGACCAUCCUCUGAAUAAAAAAUUUACAUGGGUAGAAGUAAAAGACAGAGCCAUGUGAAGCACAAAGCUAUCCAUCCACGUAACCCAAAGCAUUCUUCACCGACAUGCACAAGAAUUUUUUCCAGGCCUCGAGAACGGAAUAAACGAAAAUGGUGGGAUUCAGGGGAGUGAGAGAGGGGAGCCCUCAAAGAAAGCCAAUGACAUGCAACAAGAUGGUGGAGCCCUCAAAGCAUCAAAGAUGGAGAUAAGCAAAGCAAGCUGCAUCACGUGAGAAGUGUGCCAAUAUCUCCUAUGUCCCACUUGCUUUUAAUGCCGGCCAACAACCCUGUGACAUAGUAAAUGCGAACUUGAAAGGAGCUGUAAAUAAGAAAAAAUUGAAGAACUUUUUUCCUGUAUCCACUUCCUCUUCUCGAGUCCGUAAAUAUUUUUCUCACUCCGUGUCCAUUUCAUUUGAUUCAUAUUAAAAACUAGAAUGGGGAAAAAAAAGCAAAAAAGAUGCAAUUUUUACCACUUCCUUUCGGUGGAGGAGGGAAAGCAGGGCAGGAAGCGCAAACCAUGGGGCUAAAGAAGACCGGAUUGGAAAGAGUUGGUUGGGGGCUAAUCAUGUGGACCGCUGCGGUUCUUGGACAAACCAGAGCUGAAAGCGAUCGUUACCAAACAACAAUCACACACAACGCUACAAAUGACCAAACCCUAACUCUAGUCCCCACUUCUCAUUUUUUCAUUGAUCUCCCCAAAAGCCUUCACCUUUAUCCAACCCAUCAAAGGAACUGGUAGUAAAGCAGUAAAAAUACGAUCUUUUUCACCAGCGAUUCUCGAAGAAAGCUGCUGCUCCCGAACUCGACCCACUUGGUUUGAUCUCUCUCUGAUACAUUACUCCGUAACCGAACACUUCCAGAUAAAACCUCCCAUUCGCGCUCGUCACUAUCUUCUCGGGCUUCCCGCACGAAAUCUACUUUGCGUGAAUCACUAAUGGAGCCAUUAACAUCAUC